UACAGAGGUCCCAAGCGUUGUUCGGAUUUACUGGGCGUAAAGGGUGCGUAGGUGGCAGGGCAAGUCUGACGUGAAAUCUCCGAGCUUAACUCGGAAAUGGCGUUGGAAACUGCUUUGCUAGAGGGUUGGAGGGGGGACUGGAAUACUUGGUGUAGCAGUGAAAUGCGUAGAUAUCAAGUGGAACACCAGUGGCGAAGGCGAGUCCCUGGACAACUCCUGACACUGAGGCACGAAAGCUAGGGGAGCAAACAGG
rnacentral:rRNA from 1 species